rnacentral:lncRNA from 1 species
UGGGUGUGAACAGUAAUAACCUUGAUCAGCCACUCUGUGGGUAUACUUAUGUCUUUCAAUUUUCGUUUCUCAUCUAGUUUCUUAAGCAGCGACGAAGAUGCAAUUACUGGAUCUCUUGGCCGUGAGGUAUGCCCAGCGACUGAUAGUAGGACAUAGAUCUGUCUGGUUAUUUUCUCCAUGGAGAGUUUAGAUCUCUCUCACACUCAUCAGAAAAAUGGAAGGCUUGAGCAGAACAGAUUCAAGAGGGUUUACACAGGAUACAGGCCUUCUGGUGAACGAUGGCUCGAAGCAGAUAAGCACGUAUCAGCACAGAAGCAGGGAGCAUUUUUAUCGAUACGUUGUUUGGUGCGCCCUUUUGGCAUCUCCGAAUUCUGUGCUACUUGGAUAUGGUAUUCUUUACUUAGCAUUGAGUUUUAACUUUGUGUCUUCCAGACAUUGGUAUCAUGAGCGGCGUAGAGGCCUUUU